rnacentral:lncRNA from 1 species
CCUAUGUCCAAGAAAAUUAAGGAAUGCAGACACAAGGGUCGGGGUGGAGUCAAAGUUUAAUAAGCAAAAAAGAAAGCUUUCUGCAGCAGAGAGGGGAGUCCAAGUGGAUUGCCGGGUUACAGCUGAAUUUAAAAGCGUUUUAUAAGAAACUGCUCUCUUCCCUGUAACUGUUGGAAUAACUUUUCUUACCAGUAAAGCUGUCUGUGCAAUUCUUCUUCUCUUAUGCAGCUGUGGGUAUGUCUCUAGGCAAGCACAAAGCCCCACUUCUCUUGUUUGUAUAACUGUGGGUUUGUUUUAGGGGUGGGGCCGCUUUAUAGGGUUUGGGAAGAUAAUGGAAAAUUACAGUCAAAGGGGGUUGUUCUCUGGUGGGCAGGGGCGGGGGUCACAAGGUGCUCAGUGGGGGAGCUUCUGAGCCAGGAGAAGGAAAUUCACAGGGUUAAUCACUCAGUUAAGGUGGGGCAGGAACAAAUCACAAUGGUGGAAUAUCAUCAGUUAAGGCGUGGCAGGGCCUUUUCACUUCUUUUGUGAUUCUUCAGUUACUUCAGGCCAUCUGGGCGUAUACAUGCAAGUCACAGGGGAUGCGAUGGCUUGGCUUGGGCUCAGAGACCUGACAUUCCUGCCUUCUGAUAUUAAUAAGAAAAAUAAAACAAAAUAGUGUUGAAGUGUUGGGGUGGCAAAAAUUUUUGGGGGGUGGUAUGGAGAGAGAAUGGGCGAUGUUUCUCAGGGCUGCUUCAAGCGGGAUUAGGGGCAGCGUGGGAACCUAGAGUGGGAGAGAUUAAGCUGAAGGGAGGUCUUGUGGUAAGGGGUGAUAUUGUGGGGAUGUUAGAAGAGACAUUUCUUGUAUAGAAUGAUUGGUGAUGGCCUGGAUACGGUUUUGGAUGAAUUGAGAAACUAAAUGGAAGAUACAAGGUCCGAAUAAAAGAAGGAGAAAAAUGGGUAUUAAAGGACUAAGAAUUGGGAGGCCCUAGGACAUCCAAUUAGAGAGUGCCUAAGGGGUUCAGCAUAAUUACUUGCUUGGUUGGCAAGUUUUUGGGCUCUAUCCUUGAGUUUUUUUAUGUUGUCAUACACCAGGCCAGAUUGAUUUAGGUAAAAACAACACUCUUCAUUUAAGAAUAUGCAGAGUCCUCCUUUUUCAGCAGUGAGUAAGUCAAGGCCUCGGCGGUUUUGGAGGACAACUGCAGCUAAAGAGUCAACUUGGAGUACUGAUAAAGUUUGUGACAUGUCUGUGAUGCUAGCAGAGAAGUCAUUAGAGAGGCUACGGAAGGUCGAGACAGAAGUUGAAAUGCCUGCUAUUCCAGUACUGAGAGCAAUAGUGGAGGCAGAAAGUCCUAAACCGACCAUCAAGGGAAUUAGUGGAAUAACUCUUCUUUGUCAUGUCGGUGUCAUGAGGGGAACAGGGAGCUCUUCGGUCCUAUUUGCAAAUUGAAUUUUGGGGGAAAGGAAGACUAGUGUGCAUGUGCCUGUCCAAUUAGCAGGUAGACACAUGUAGGUAGAGGAACCACAGAGGAAGAAGAGACCUUGUGCAAGGCAAAACUGGAGAUGUAAAGUAAAAAGAUGAGAAGGAGUGCUGAAAGGGGUGUCUUGUACCUAGAGUCCUAGGGAUCCAGCUAGGGCGGCAGCUGUCAGAGGUUGUAAUGGGGACUGAUGGGGUAACUGCGUAGAGGGGGAGGUUCAAUUUUCAUGGUGUAUGAGAAAACAUUGAGUAUCUAUGAGCAACCUUUCACUGUUAUUUUCGGGGCUGGAUAUAAGUAAACAAGAAUAGGGCCUGGGAGGAGAGUCUGAUGAGCAAGGGGAAGGUAGCCAAGGAUGGAGUUCAAUACAGGGUAAGUGUCUUCCUAAGCAAUAAUUACUGCUAACAUUUUUAAGUUUAUCAGUAUUGAUAGAGGGCUUGUCUGUAAUAUGGAGCUGGAAGGCUCCAAUUGUUUCAGUGAUGUGUGUAAUUGGGCUUCGGAGAUGAAGAGUAAAGGAACAUCGAGAGGGUGAAAGAUUACCUAGGGGAAUUCCAGUGGGUCUUUGCUGAGAGAUACAUAAAGGAGCGGCCACAGGAAUAGUAGUUUGUGUUGUGAGAGGUCCGAAUAUGGGGGGAGUAGAGUUAAUAUAAGGAGAAAGGUUUUUUAAAUAAGUGCGAAGGAGGGCGGCAGCUUGCUGAUGUGAAAUGUCUGGGGAAGUCUUGCUGGACCUGUCUAGAGAGUAAAUGAGUUCUUCAGGAGGGUAAAGAUGAGGGCUGCUAAAGGAAGUUCAGAGGUGUAGGGAGACGGGAGAUAUUGCCCAGUCUGUCUGUAAGGCGGGGACAGCUGUGUAGGCACUGGAAGAAAGGGAAAUGCAAAGCCAGCAGUUGUUCACUAAGGAGGGACUAGAAGUGGCUAGGAGAGAAUGGGUAAGGUUGAUAGUGUGGUGGAGAUAGCUGGGGAGAGGUAGAGGGUGGCAUAAGAAUGGGAACGAGAAUAAGAGUGAGUAUAAAAGUAAAGAAUAGAACUUCAUCAGGGUGGAAGUAUUGGAGGGUGCCUUGCCAGCAAAGAUCAUCUACCCACUCUAAGAGGGAGUUAAGAGUGGCAGUUUGGGGUUAGCACCAAGAGAUAUCAGCUGUGAUGGCUUGAAGAAACAGUGUAAACCGGCGGUGUAAAGAAGAGUAGGGCAUUUAUAAGUAGUUGAGAAUGGAGAAUAGGAGUAUGACCAGACAGAAGAUAGUAGGGAUGACUAGUUUUUUUGGGCUCGGCCUAAGUGGUUGGGGUGACUUCGUAAAGCCCUGUUGCAAAAAGUAGGGUAAGGACGAACAGACCUAAUAGAAUGAAGGGAUGUAUUAGGCUCAUAAGGGUUAUUACUGCUCUUCAGAAAUAUGAGUGAGUUUAAGGGAAGUAGGGGAGAGUACUUGCGGCUUCCAGGAGGAAGAGGAGGGAUUAGGCUGGCUGUCCGAUGGACACAGCUUUAUUCUGGAAUGGUGAACCUAGUGGGGAGGAUCCUGCAGGCAGACGGCAGUCGGGGUACUAUAGAAGACGAGGUAGCAUCCGGUCCAUCGAGGUUGUAGAGUUUGAGGGGUCAGAUUCUUAACAAGAACUGAUCAUCCAGCUAGGAUGUCUCCAUAUGGCUGGGGAUCUGGAGUAGGCAAGAGAAGAUUAGCAGCCUGGUGAAUUUCCUGUCUAGCCUGCUGGAGGACUGGAAGAUAGUCACCUAGAGGGCUGGUGUCUGGGAUGAGGUUGGGGCCAAGCAAGAAAGUGUGUCCAUAUAAAAGUUCAAAUGGACCGUACCCUGUAGCAUCUCAAGGACAGGCUCUAAUUCUGAGAAGAGCAAGAGGUAAAAGUACUGUCCAAUCCUUUUUAAGUUGGAGGCUGAGCUUGGUGAGGUUUACCUUUAAAAGACCAUUAGUCCAUUCUACCUUUCCUGAAGAUUGAGGAUGGUAAGGGAUAUGAAGGUUCCACUGAAUACCAAGAGCCUGAGAAACUGCUUGGGUGAUUUGACUAGUAAAGGCUGGUCUGUCAUCAGACUGUAUAGAGGUGGGAAGCCUAAACUGAGGAAUUAUGUCUGACAGAGGGGAAGAAAUGACUGUGGUGGCCUUCUCAGACCCUGUAGGAAAGGCCUCUACUUAUCUAGUGAAAGUGUCUACUUAGACUAAGAGGUAUUUUAGUUAUCUGACUUGGGGCAUGUUGAGUGAAGCUAAUUUGCCAGUCCUGGGUGGGGGCAAAACCUUGAGCUUGAUGUGUAGGGAAGGGAGGGGGCCUGAAUAAUCCUUGAGGAGUAGUAGAAUAGCAGAUAGAAUAGCAGAUGGAACACUUGAGAAGUUAUUUCCUUGAGGAUAGAUUUCUACAAUGGAAAGGAAAUGAAAGGUUCAAAGAGGCGGGCUAGUGGCUUGUACUAUAGCAUAGCCUGCCUUUGCUGAUGUGUGGUGAUUAGGCCUGGUGGAACUGCCAUCAAUAAAUCAAGCGUGAUCAGGGUGAGAAACAGGGAAGAAGGAAAUGUGGGGAAAUAGGAUGAACAUCAGGUGGAUCAGAGAGAUGCAAUCAUGAGGGUCAGGUGUGGUAUCAGGAAUACUGUGGGAGGCUGGAUUGAAGUCCAGGCCAGGAACAAUGGUAAUUGUGGGACUUAACAAAGAGUGAGUACAGCUGAAGGAGCUGGGGAACAGAAAGUAUAUGCGUCAGGUAUGAGGAAGAAAAUAGAUUUUGGAAGUUAUGAGAAAUGUAGAGAGUGAGUUGAGCAUUGUUUGUGAUUUUUAGGGCCUCUAAAAUUAUUAAAGCAGCAGCAGCUGCUGCACACAGACAUGAGGGCUAGGCUAAAACAGUAAGGUCAAGUUGUUUCGACAGAAAGGCUACAGGGUGCGGUCCUGGCUCUUGUGUAAGAAUUCUGACGGCACUAACCAUGCCUAGGAAGGAAAGGAGUUGUUGUUUUGUAAGGGAUUGAGGUUUGGGAGAUUAAUUGGACAUGAUCAGCAGGGAGAGCAUGUGUGUUUUUAUGAGAAUUAUGCAGAGAUAGGUAACAGAUGGAGAAGAAAUUUGAGCUUUGGAGGGGGAUACCUGAUAUCCUUUGGAGAAUAAAUGCUGAAGAAGCAGAAGUGUGUCUUGUUGAGAAGAUUCAAAGGAGGGGCUACAAAGAAGAAGGUCAUCAAUAUAUUGAAUAAGGUGAGAAGCAGAGGGGUGGAAAGAAAGUAGAUCAUGAGAAAGAGCUUGGCUGAAGUAAAUGAGGGCUGUCCCUGAAACCUUGCGGCAGCACAGCCCAGGUUUUGACAUAAUUUGGUGUCAGAAGUAGAAUUGAAGCUGGUUAGUUGGACAGAUGGACAACCCCUGAAAUUGAGUGAAUUGCCUGUGCUGAGCCCUUUUGAGCUCUCCACCUCCGUGGCUGACCUUUUCUACCCUGCUGAAUCUCCUCUCAGAUUCCUGGACUCCUUUUUGGGCUAAGGAAUUGGGUUACUUUGUGCCCCGCCUCUGCCCGCAGGGAAGACCAUUCCUGGAUUUACCCUUCGAGGGAGCAGUAGAAGCGGAUCUGGCAUGAAGUGGGGGACACAACUCCCCUUAUGCUCCCAGCACAUCUCCUGGGCUGAGGCCAUCUCAGAUUGGAAGACCAGCUUUCCAAAGCAAGUCUCCUCCACAUCAUGAAGGAGAAAAAGGUUGACACAGGGCAUGAGGAUGGCUUGUCUCUGCUCCCCGAUGUCUGGGCCUCAGCUGGGAAGAAUUCAUUGGCUGGGGCUGAAGGCUUCCCUGCUGGAAACUUCCCCACAUCUGGCACCCAGGCUGGGUAGACUGAAAAGCUCAGCUCAGUGGAGGCUGUUGACAGGGCCACCAAGACAGGGACUUCCUGGGGAGCCUGGGCUUCCACAGCAUGUUCUGACCAUGGAUGAAAACCAGCACAGGCCCAUCCAACUCCAAGAGAAGGCACAUAGACCCCGCUUCUCCAUGAAGAGAGUGCCAGAGGACAUGCAGCCAUUUUAAUAAACCACUGCAAGCCCCUUUGGUGAAUUAGGGGGUCAUGGGCCAGGACACAGUGAGGGCUGAGCUGCCACCUUCUCUGUCUUAGGGAGGGGGGAAGGAGAACACACAGAUGUUAACAAUUUUUGCCCUGUUUCAUUGGGAACUAAACGCAUUAUUUUAGUCCUUCCAAACAUAGACAGGAACUCUCGUCAUUCUGGGCCUCAGUUUCCCCAUCUGUAAAAUGAAGUAGUUGGAAUGGAUGAUCUUUUAAAGUCUAUUUUGACUUUUUAAAUCUAAGAUUCCACCAAGCCCCGCCCCUGUGAUUUGGCAGAUGAAAAUCCCUAGCGGAUUGUUCUUAAAGACCACCUGAGCUGGAGCCACACGGCUCCCACCUGCCUCCCGGGCUGCUUCUUGAUAGAGCAGGAGGAUCGCCAUCUUGGACAAGCCUCUCAUUCUAAAGUUCACCUUAAUCAAAAACCACCAAAAUCCAAAGGACAUCAGCCUAAUGGCUAAGGUCAGCACGACCUUAAACCAUAAAUAACAUCUCCAACCAGAAACAUUUCAAAUUCCUCCCCACCCAGAGACAUGCUAGUCCCGAGGUCAUCCUGCUCUGGCUGGGAAGAUGCCAUCCCUGAGAUAACCCCCCUCCAGCCAGAAAGAUGUCAUCCCCAAGGUAACCUCCCCUCCUUCUGGUGACAUUCUAGCCCUGCCAGAAAAC